rnacentral:rRNA from 1 species
GACGAACGCUGGCGGCGUGCUUAACACAUGCAAGUCGAACGGAAAGGCCCUGCUUUUGUGGGGUGCUCGAGUGGCGAACGGGUGAGUAACACGUGAGUAACCUGCCCUUGACUUUGGGAUAACUUCAGGAAACUGGGGCUAAUACCGGAUAGGAGCUCCUGCUGCAUGGUGGGGGUUGGAAAGUUUCGGCGGUUGGGGAUGGACUCGCGGCUUAUCAGCUUGUUGGUGGGGUAGUGGCUUACCAAGGCUUUGACGGGUAGCCGGCCUGAGAGGUGGACCGGCGACAUUGGGACUGAGAUACGGCCCAGACUCCUACGGGCGGCAGCAGUGGGGAAUAUUGCACAAUGGGCGGAAGCCUGAUGCAGCAACGCCGCGUGCGGGAUGACGGCCUUCGGGUUGUAAACCGAUUUCGCCUGUGACGAAGCGUGAGUGACGGUAAUGGGUAAAGAAGCACCGGCUAACUACGUG